rnacentral:rRNA from 1 species
AUAGCGUAUAUUAAAGUUGUUGCAGUUAAAAAGCUCGUAGUUGAAUUUUGGGUUUGGCCGAUUGGUCCGUUCUUGUAGCGAGUACUGGUCGGUUGGGCCUCACCGCUUGGGGAAGGGUAAUGUCCUUUAUUGGGUGUUGCUCCUAGCCAAGACCUUUACCUUGAAAAAAUUAGAGUGUUUAAAGCAGGCAUAUGCCAGAAUACAUUAGCAUGGAAUAAUAGAAUAGGACAAUGAUUCUAUUUUGUUGGUUUCUAGGACCGUUGUAAUGAUUAAUAGGGAUAGUUGGGGGCAUUAGUAUUCAAUUGUCAGAGGUGAAAUUCUUGGAUUUAUUGAAGACUAACAACUG